CAGCCGCCGCGGGAAUACGUAGGGGGCAAGCGUUAUCCGGAAUUACUGGGUGUAAAGGGAGCGUAGACGGUUAAACAAGUCUGAAGUGAAAUGCCGGGGCUCAACCCCGGAGCUGCUUUGGGAACUGUAGAACUGGAGUGUCGGAGGGGUAAGCGGAAUUCCCAGUGUAGCGGUGAAAUGCGUAGAUAUUGGGAGGAACACCGGCGGCGAAGGCGGCUUACUGGACGACAACUGACGUUGAGGCUCGAAGGCGUGGGUAGCAAACAGGAUUAGAGACCCCUGUAGUCCCUGUCUCUUAUAC
rnacentral:rRNA from 1 species